GAGAGAGAGAGAGAGAGGAAGAAACGAAGAAGAGAAAGAAGAGAGGAGAAAGGAAGAGAAAGGAAGAGAAGGAAAGAAGAAGAAAAGAAAAAAAGAGGAAGAGAGGAGAAAGGAAGAAAAAGAAGAGAAAGUUACGAAGGAGGGAAGAGAGAGAGAAGGGAAAAAUUAACGAAGAAGGGAAUAAGAGAAAUUAAAAAGAGAAGAGAGAGAAAAGAGAAAUCUAACUAUAUAUAUAAUUAUCUUUAUUUACAUUUAACUUAUUUACCUAAAAUAACCUCCUAAUAACAUCUAAUUACAUAUAUAUAAAAAAUAAUUAAUGAUUGACUGCGAUUGCGUUCGAAAAAAAUACCCCCAAAAAUAUGAAUUAAUGACCUCUACGGUAUAAUUAGGGGCAAAAUAUAUUAUAGUAUUAUUUAACCUUACUUAAUGUACCUUAAUUAAAUGCCUAUAGGUCUUAAUAAAGGUUAUUAGAAGAAAAAUGUCCAAAUCUGAACCGCUUGAACACAUCUGAGCGCCAUAGGUUACGCGGGGAGCUGCACGUGUCGAUGCCGUUCACAUUUUUAACGUUUAUUAUACGUUCCUGACCUUGCCCGGCUAAGAAGCAUAUGACUUUGUGUCCCAAUGUCCACCACUGGUGUUGGUGCUGAAGUGAGGCAUCGAGACAGUUGCUGUGGUCAGUACUUGUUCCGUCUCUGCUGCCGCUGACUUCAGGACUCCUUGGUGCAUCCCUCGCCUUGCCUGCUCAGUUGGUCACUGAGUGUGGCCUUGAAGCAACCUCGCCACCUCCUCCAGCAUCUCUGAGGCUCCUCAAGGCCAGCCAACUCCUCACAUCCAGAGUAGUGUUGCAGUGGAGGCUGCAAGGCGGGACAGCAGCUGGAGUGGCUGGGAUCAGCAGGAGCAGACUGCUACUGGUGUGAGGUUCAGGAGUGAUAAAAAACACCACCAACAACAACAACAACUGCUGGCCUCUUCAUCCACAAAGGGGGAAGUUUGAAUUUCAGAAGUGUGACAAGAUCUGAGAAAGAGCAAGUGUACUGACCAAAGCCAAGAGUGUGAGAAAAGACGUACAGGGAAGGAUGGCCUCAACAAAUACACCCACACACUCUGGUGUAAGACCUCAUGAAAGUCGGGAGUGUGGCAAAAGGUUUAGUAAUACGAGUAACCCCAAACACCACACCCUUACACACGCUGGUUCAAGAAACCAUGAGUGUGAAGUUUGUGGGAAAUGUUUCAGUCGGAAGGGUCACCUCAACACACACACCCUUACACACACUGAUGCAAGAAGUCAUGAGUGUGAAGUUUGUGGGAAAUGUUUCAGUCGGAAGGGUAACCUCAACACACACACCCUUACACACACUGAUGCAAGAAAUCAUGAGUGUGAAGUUUGUGGGAAAUGUUUCAGUCUGAAGGGUCACCUCAACACACACACCCUUACACACACUGAUGCAAGAAGUCAUGAGUGUGAAGUUUGUGGGAAAAGAUUCAAACUGAAGAGUAUAUUGGACAGGCACGUCUUCAGACACUCUGGUCAUAAGGGGUUCAAGUGCGAUGUUUGUGGGAAACGAUUCUUUACUAAGGGGGAGAUUGCGAGUCAUAUGAAGGUCCAUUUCUCCUGAGGUGCUUUGCUGAUUCAGUUCUGCUGUGUGUGUGAGUGCAAGUGUUUGUUGUGGUGGUGUUACAGGGCUGUGUGUAGCAUAGAGAACAUAAAAUAUUCAUCUGUUGGAACAAAUGGUGACUGAUGGCAUGAUCUGUUAUUCACUUUCCACCCCAGGCUUCAUGUGGUUGGUGGGUCCUGUGAAAGGUCUGAUCUUUUUGGUGACUGUGCUGGGCUGGUUGUUGUGGCCUGGGCUUAUUGGUCAAGUGUGUGUGUGUGUUAAUAGUAAUAAUAUAGUGUAUUUGGUCUCACCAGCACACACACGCACAGAUUAUUUGUUCUUGCUUUAAAUAAUAUUGGUGACGAUGGUCUAUUGUCGUAUAUUUUCUCUUCAGACAUUUCUGUCUUCCAAUUUUUAUAUAUUGAUAAACUUGACUUCCUGCUGCCAUCUAUUACUAUCCCAGUCUAUAAUCUUAUUCUUUAAUUUUUCUUUCUUAAUUGCUCUUAGGUCAGAGUAAUUUAAAUUAAUGUCUUUCAUAAAUAGUCUCCAUGGUGCUUGACCCAAUCUCUCCUCUCAAGACUGGAACUUGAGCAUAGCUUGGUGCUCCCAGGAUUGCCCUAUACACGGAAUUUUCAAUCCUCUGUAACUUUUGAAUUUGAUCAGUGGGAGGCUGGAAUGAUAGUGGUUGAGUGCAGUGUGGUGGUGCCGGGGAGGGGGAGGACAUCCUCUUCCAGAUGGUGGCAAGGUGUUAGUCCCAGGUCAUCCUUAGGUCAGACGCUGAUGGCGGGAUUCAGGCAGAGCAGUGGGAGUUAACUCAGGCCACAGACUGAACACUUGUGCCAUACCCUGGGCUGGUGGGACAAGAGAGGGGGGUGGUUGGGGGGACAAGGGCACAGCCUUGGUGGGGGUGGUGUACAUUGUGCUCCACUUGAGUGACAAGGCCCCAACACAGCAGUCACCAAAGCAGAGCAGGCCUUUCCCGGCAGCAGGGUGGGCAGGAUGACAGCACUGUAGGCAAACCACACCAAACUGGCAGUUGGGAGGGGUAACUGAGGUCUUAUGGUGUCACUUUCCUGUUUCCAACCUUGUGAUGUCACAUCUCAACAAGCAAGUCAAAUACCACGGCAGCCUUUGGGGGGGGGGGCACAACAGCAGUGUCACCACUUCCUUUGAGGGAUGAGAGAAAUAACGGAAACAGGAGAAAGGAAUAAGGGUGAAUUAAGUUUGGUGAUGCAAAGGCGAGUUAACAAUUGUCUCCAUACACUCCCGUCUUCUCAUUCUUCCCUCCCCUACUUCUCUUGGGUGUUCUACCACCCUGCUCCCCAUCCCCUCUCUUCCCCCAAUCAGAAUUAUAACAGGUUAAUUGCAUUUACAUGUGUCUUGUAUGCCCUCAAAUUUCAGUGUCCCACUUGGGAAUUUAUGUAAAAAUAAAAAAGCAUUCCGA